rnacentral:tRNA from 1 species
GGUGAUGUAGCUCAGUCGGUAGAGCAAAGGACUGAAAAUCCUUGUGUCGCCGGUUCGAUCCCGGCUCACACCA